CCCUUAGAUGUUCUGGGCCGCACGCGCGCUACAAUGAUGAAUUCAACGAGCUUAUAACCUUGGUUGAAAAGCCUGGGUAAUCUUUUGAACUUUCGUCGUGAUGGGGCUAGACCCUUGCAAUUAUUGGCCUCCAACGAGGAAUUCCUAGUAAACGCAAGUCAUCAGCUUGCAUUGAUUACGUCCCUGCCCUUUGUACACACCGCCCGUCGCACCUACCGAUUGAAUGGUCCGGUGAAAUCUUCGGAUUGAGACUUUGAUUUCUUCACGGAAAACGCUGUUUUAAAAAGUUGAUUAAACCUUACCAUUUAGAGGAAGGUGAAGUCGUAACA
rnacentral:rRNA from 1 species